rnacentral:lncRNA from 1 species
CAGAUAGUAUACAUACCCUGUAUCACAUUUGGGUUGGUUUCAGCAUCCUGCUGGGUGAGUGUAUAGACUCUAUCCUAAACUAUGGGUCUGGUGUGAUUUUGAUUCCAUAGACACUCUCUUGCAUAGUGUUAGGUACUCCUGCAUAUGUGGCAAGUGUUACUGAGGCGAGUGUAAGUCGGUCUCCGUGAUUCUUACCACAAUGUUGACAAACCUUGUCGCGUCCUGUUACGGGGGCCUGGAAAAGAGCUUGAGUUGCGACCCUUGGUCUCUUGUUCUACUAAUUCAGUGCAGUAGGUGCUGCCCUGCGAUGCAAAACCAGGGGUCUGGAGUUGCCCAUUGCUGGUGGAAAAAUAUAGAGAUUCCUCUUUAUCAACUGUGUCUUAGCCAAGACUAUUGAAUAAUUGUUAAACUCGAAGACAUAUAACUAUUGUCUGAUCUCAUAACGAAGACCCCACUCAAACGUUUUUACCUUUUUGCCUUUAUCUGUCAUGCUCUUAUGAGAGUACCGGCCUAGCUUUAGAAAUUUCUGAGCAUAUUCUGAUACUGAUAAAUCUUCCUAGAUCAGGUGUGUAAACUUCAUAUCCUUCAGAUGUCGGAGGUAUUCUAGAAGAUACUUAACAUUGAAAACUGUCAGAAACUGUUCCUAGGUAACUUGAGUGGAUAGGGUAGCCUGCUUCAGUUAUCACUAAUUCCCUGCCUCACCUACGAGUAUGUAAGUGGUAAGAACAACCUUAUGUUCGGGAGUUACUCCAAGGGUCGCAAAGACCUUCUCUGUCUCUACUAACCAGUAUUUAGUUUCUUCAAAUGUGGAUGCCACUACAAAAAUAUAUGGAUUGAGUCUCUUAUACAUUUCAAUGUGGCAUGGAUCCAUCAUAGUCGA